GACGAACGCUGGCGGCGUGCCUAAUACAUGCAAGUUGAGCGCUGAAGGUUGGUACUUGUACCAACUGGAUGAGCAGCGAACGGGUGAGUAACGCGUGGGGAAUCUGCCUUUGAGCGGGGGACAACAUUUGGAAACGAAUGCUAAUACCGCAUAAAAACUUUAAACACAAGUUUUAAGUUUGAAAGAUGCAAUUGCAUCACUCAAAGAUGAUCCCGCGUUGUAUUAGCUAGUUGGUGAGGUAAAGGCUCACCAAGGCGAUGAUACAUAGCCGACCUGAGAGGGUGGUCGGCCACAUUGGGACUGAGACACGGCCCAAACUCCUACGGGAGGCAGCAGUAGGGAAUCGUCGGCAAUGGACGAAAGUCUGACCGAGCAACGCCGCGUGAGUGAAGAAGGUUUUCGGAUCGUAAAACUCUGUUGGUAGAGAAGAACGUUGGUGAGAGUGGAAAGCUCAUCAAGUGACGGUAACUACCCAGAAAGGGACGGCUAACUACGUG
rnacentral:rRNA from 1 species